rnacentral:rRNA from 1 species
GAUGAACGCUGGCGGCGUGCCUAAUACAUGCAAGUCGAGCGAACAGAUGAGGAGCUUGCUCCUCUGACGUUAGCGGCGGAGGGGUGAGUAAUACGUGGAUAACCUACCUAUAAGACUUGGAUAACUUCGGGAAACCGGAGCUCAUACCGGAUAAUAUAUUGAACCGCAUGGUUCAAUAGUGAAAGACGAUUUUGCUGUCACUUAAAGCUGGAUCCGCGCCGCAUUAGCUAGGUGGUAAGGUAACGGCUCACCAAGGCAACGAUGAGUAGCCGGCCUGGGAGGAUGAUCAGCAUCACUGGGACGGAGACACGGCCGAGACUCCGACGGGAGGCAGCAGUGGGGAAUAUUGGACAAGGGGGGCAACACUGAGCCAGCCAUGCUGGGUGAGUGAUGAAGGCGGGAGGGUUGUAAAUCACUUUUGACCGGGAAGAUAAUGCCGGUACCGGGAGAAGAAGCCCCGGCUAAUUUCGU